rnacentral:lncRNA from 1 species
GUCGGGGGCUCGUGGGCUCGUCGUCGUCGUGAAUGUUGUGAAACGAAGGUGAAGAAAGAAGAGAACCGACGGGAAGUCAGGCAGAAAAAGAGCGAGAAAUAAAUCGAGAAA